rnacentral:rRNA from 1 species
GACGAACGCUGGCGGCGUGCCUAAUACAUGCAAGUAGAACGCUGAAGAGAGGAGCUUGCUCUUCUUGGAUGAGUUGCGAACGGGUGAGUAACGCGUAGGUAACCUGCCUGGUAGCGGGGGAUAACUAUUGGAAACGAUAGCUAAUACCGCAUAAAAUGGAUUAUCGCAUGAUAAUCCAUUGAAAGGUGCAAAUGCAUCACUACCAGAUGGACCUGCGUUGUAUUAGCUAGUUGGUGGGGUAACGGCUCACCAAGGCGACGAUACAUAGCCGACCUGAGAGGGUGAUCGGCCACACUGGGACUGAGACACGGCCCAGACUCCUACGGGAGGCAGCAGGAGGGAAUCUUCGGCAAUGGACGGAAGUCUGACCGAGCAACGCCGCGUGAGUGAAGAAGGUUUUCGGAUCGUAAAGCUCUGUUGUAAGAGAAGAACGAGUGUGAGAGUGGAAAGUUCACACUGUGACGGUAUCUUACCAGAAAGGGACGGCUAACUACGUG